rnacentral:tRNA from 1 species
GGCCCGAUGGCAGAGUGGUGAUGCAGCGGACUGCAAAUCCGCGUAUGUGGGUUCGAUUCCCGCUCGGGCCUCCA